AACGAACGCUGGCGGCAGGCCUAACACAUGCAAGUCGAACGUGAAGCCACCUUCGGGUGGUGGAAAGUGGCAGACGGGUGAGUAACGCGUGGGAACGUGCCUUUCGGUUCGGAAUAACCCAGGAAAACUUGGGCUAAUACCGGAUACGCCCUUCGGGAGAAAGAUUCAUCGCCGAAAGAUCGGCCCGCGUCGGAUUAGCUAGUUGGUAGGGUAAUGGCCUACCAAGGCGACGAUCCGUAGCUGGUCUGAGAGGAUGAUCAGCCACACUGGGACUGAGACACGGCCCAGACUCCUACGGGAGGCAGCAGUGGGGAAUAUUGGACAAUGGGCGAAAGCCUGAUCCAGCCAUGCCGCGUGGGUGAAGAAGGCCCUAGGGUUGUAAACCCCUUUCAGCGGGGAAGAUAAUGACGGUACCCGCAGAAGAAGCCCCGGCUAACUCCGUGCCAGCCGCCGCCGUAAAAC
rnacentral:rRNA from 1 species